UUUUUUUUUUUUUUUUUUUGGGUGCAAUGCAAUACUUUUAAGAAAAAUAAUACAAGCCUGAGCCAACAAUAGGCGUAACCAGAUUUUUACUGAGUUCACUCAAAACAAAACGAAACAAAAUGACGGGAACUACUUCAAAAAUCAGAAACAAGGAUUACAUGGCUCAAUUUAUAAAUCAUCUAUUUUGAAAACAAUAAAGGGCUUUUAUGAUGAUCAGUGACCAUAACCAACAUAUCAGGCAGAGAUAUCAAGCACAAAAUGCAGCUCCAACACUAAAAGUGUGUGUUUCGAGUGUAAGACAGAAACUGGAACUUCCAAAAUGUAGGGAGUAGUUUUCAGAGCAAGAGUAUUAUGUCUCCAGAUGAAAAAGCAAAUUGUGAAGAACAAAGAGGUCUCAGACACAUACUACUAUGUCUCCAUUAGAGAGAGAG
rnacentral:misc_RNA from 1 species